AAAUUGGCUCGCCGAAUCAUCAACUCGAGAUCAUGCUCUGCAGAAUUCGAAUCAUUUCAGUCUACUUUCGCCGUGUUGCAACGUUGGCUGUUGCUUGUGAUAUUAUGAAUGUUCUGAUUGUCGCAGUGUCGAAGUCCUCGCUAAACUGGUUACGUCUUGCCCAGUCGCUUUCCCCACCAAGAAAAGAUCUCGUUGCCAUUCAACAUUGUAUCCUGCUCGCUGUACAGUAGCUGGGCUCCGUCAAUCACUGUUGCAUGCUAGCCAUCGGAACGCCGCUUCGUACCUAUCCGCCUAGCCCUGUGUUCCGUCGAGACUGCCGACUGGCCUCUCGUCAUUGCCACUCAGCCGUCCACUGACUUUGGUUCCUUUCGAGACAGGUCACGGAACGCCGGAAUAAAAACUUUCGCAGAGAUGGAUAUACCGGAUACCGUCGCGGCCAUAAUGGCUGUUGUCGCGAUUGUGUUCGCAACUGUUAUAAACGUAAUAAUUCACCGAGCCGGGCAACCCAGUCAACAACUUAGCGAAUACAAUGGCACAUAUGAUCCAUCAUAUGACUACAUGUAUAUAGAUAUAUAUUGUGGACUGGCACUGUUGUUCGCAACCGGUCUGGGCAUUUCAGUGGCAACGUUACUCGAACUACUCUCAGCCUUGUUCCGUUUUCACAGAUACUACCAAGAAUGGAGACGCAGGUAGAGGCAUGUGAAUCUAAGAGCAUUACUAGUACUAGCUCAAGCAUGGCACUGCUCUCUUGUUGAUUUCUGGUCGGUCACAUUGUUCAAUCGGGUCACAUGCGCACUACAUCAUGAAACAGGACGUGACGUUGCUUGCCUUAUCAUACACAUAUCAAAUGGAACAGUCUCGUGGCAUUGCUGUUGACCUUGCUCACUCAUGCUAAAAUGUACUUGAAGAAGUAGCUUUUCAAAUACAUGUAGCUUGAGAAGCAAUCCAUCCCCACUUCCGCAUUGUACACUGAGCAGCUAAAUGCAGUUGGUUCUGAACCACUCUCUCAGCAUUGACAGAGUUGUCUUUCGAUAGGCACCUAACAUCGGACUAAGAGCUUGAUCAAACACACGAACACGGUUACUUUCAAAGUCUGUGUUGGCUAUUUACGCACUAACAACAGAAAUAGAUCCCCCUCAUUGUCUAGAUCCCCCUCAUUGUAUAGCCCCCCUCAUUGUAUUUUGAACCCAAAACACAGUACAGUAUUUCCUCACAGAGUAGACCAUAUCUAUUUAGAAAUGUAUGCUGGUCCCACCAUACACAUCUAUUCAUGCAUGGCCAUACCGGCGGACUUCCAGCUACCGAUCAUGUAUUGUAAGACCCCUGCCUGUGGUUAUCUCCAGAAAUCCUUUGAAAAUUAUACGCUUUACUGCAACAGGUAACCAUCUUCAAAUAGUGAGCCAUGAACAC